UACGUAGGGUGCGAGCGUUGUCCGGAAUUAUUGGGCGUAAAGAGCUCGUAGGCGGUCUGUCGCGUCGGUCGUGAAAACUUGGGGCUUAACCCUGAGCUUGCGGUCGAUACGGGCAUGACUGGAGUUCGGCAGGGGAGACUGGAAUUCCUGGUGUAGCGGUGAAAUGCGCAGAUAUCAGGAGGAACACCGGUGGCGAAGGCGGGUCUCU
rnacentral:rRNA from 1 species